rnacentral:rRNA from 1 species
CCUACGGGCGGCAGCAGUGAGGAAUAUUGGUCAAUGGACGAGAGUCUGAACCAGCCAAGUAGCGUGAAGGAUGACUGCCCUAUGGGUUGUAAACUUCUUUUAUAUGGGAAUAAAAUGUUCCACGUGUGGGAUUUUGUAUGUACCAUAUGAAUAAGGAUCGGCUAACUCCGUGCCAGCAGCCGCGGUAAUACGGAGGAUCCGAGCGUUAUCCGGAUUUAUUGGGUUUAAAGGGAGCGUAGGUGGAUUGUUAAGUCAGUUGUGAAAGUUUGCGGCUCAACCGUAAAAUUGCAGUUGAAACUGGCAGUCGUGAGUACAGUAGAGGUGGGCGGAAUUCGUGGUGUAGCGGUGAAAUGCUUAGAUAUCACACAGAACACCGAUUGCGAAGGCAUCUCGCGAAUCCGCGAUUGACGCUGAGGCACGAAAGCGUGGGUAUCAAACAGGAUUAGAUACCCCAGUAGUC